CAGCAAGGUAUGUUCUUUAAAUAGAGUUCAUAAAUUGCGUGUUGAAUGGGUUGCAGGGCUGGUUUCCAUGAAAUCGGCAGUGAAAUACGCGCAAGCAACACAGAAAUUCAUGUGGAGGCAGCAAAGCCUCUAGUAAAGGUCUGCCCUUUCACACAUCUGUAACUCAUAUCGACAAAGAUGCGUCUCAAAAACCAAAGAAAGUUGCGUCUUAACUGAAUAAGUAACGGUGUUAACUGCAACUUCUUACGGGUAAGAUAACCUUACCAUUCACAUCUCAUGAGCUUAUAACUCAUAAAAAAACCUUGUAAAUGUUAUAAUCCUAGUAAUUUGGACUUCACAUGAUGAGAAUGUAAUACAUAUCACAAAACAAAUUUUUUAUUGAUGUACUUUUGAUCAUCUCUACUAAGUACUGACUGUUUGCUUCAUCAAUAUCACUACAUACAAUUAUGGCAGUUUGUAAAUUUCUAGACAAAAAAUUUAUGAAAAUAUUAGUUUAUAUUC